rnacentral:rRNA from 1 species
UACGGAGGGUGCAAGCGUUAAUCGGAAUUACUGGGCGUAAAGCGUGCGCAGGCGGUUUGUUAAGUCUGCUGUGAAAUCCCCGAGCUCAACUUGGGAAUUGCAGUGGAUACUGGCAAGCUGGAGUACGGUAGAGGAAGGUGGAAUUCCCUGUGUAGCAGUGAAAUGCGUAGAGAUCGGGAGGAACACCAGUGGCGAAGGCGGCCUUCUGGACCAGUACUGACGCUCAUGCACGAAAGCGUGGGGAGCAAACAGG